GCUCACUCCCCUCGGAUAGUGUUUCCACCCGAGUUUUUCCCGGGAAGAGGCUCUCAAGACUAGCCAGUGCAGGAGGAGGAGUCGAACUCUGGAUAGCCUGUUUAUAAAGCCCUAACUGUGCCGAUGUUGACCGUUUUCUGAAACUCCUCCUCCAAAACCCACGCCAAACCACAAGAUGAAGGAAAUUCACACAUCAGGAUGCCAAAAACCAUGGAAGACUUCUGAUGUUCUGGGAGGGUUGACAAAGAUGGACCUUAAAUUCUAGGUCAAUACUAAUCUCUAGGAUCGAG
rnacentral:lncRNA from 1 species